rnacentral:lncRNA from 1 species
UGGGUUGUAUCAUAACUCUGUAUCUAAUUGCAACUGCCUGUAAUACAUAUUGUUCCUUUUCUUCCGAAAAAAAAAAAAAGAAGAAGAAGACAUUAGAUUUGGUAGUAAUAUCAUUUUAUUGAGUUGAAAUUGAAACGUUUUUCUUACAGCAGAGUGUGUCUUGUCUUCGGACUUUUAAAUUUGUAAAGAACCUAACGAGGACAAAUUUAUCUAGCUCCGAAAGAGAUCUAUGAUAAAAAGGU